rnacentral:rRNA from 1 species
AUUGAACGCUGGCGGCAUGCUUUACACAUGCAAGUCGAACGGUAACAGGUUAAGCUGACGAGUGGCGAACGGGUGAGUAAUGCAUCGGAACGUGCCCGAUCGUGGGGGAUAACGCAGCGAAAGCUGCGCUAAUACCGCAUACGAUCUGAGGAUGAAAGCGGGGGACCGUAAGGCCUCGCGCGAUCGGAGCGGCCGAUGUCAGAUUAGGUAGUUGGUGGGGUAAAGGCCCACCAAGCCGACGAUCUGUAGCUGGUCUGAGAGGACGACCAGCCACACUGGGACGGAGACACGGCCCAGACUCCUACGGGAGGCAGCAGUGGGGAAGUUUGGACAAUGGGCGAAAGCCUGAUCCAGCAAUGCCGCGUGCAGGAAGAAGUCCUUCGGGUUGUAAACUGCUUUUGUACGGAGCGAAAAGGUCCUUUCUAAUACAAGGGGCUCAUGACGGUACCGUAAGAAUAAGCACCGGCUAACUACGUGCCAGCAGCCGCGGUAA